rnacentral:snRNA from 13 species
AACCUUGCGCAGUGGGCAUCGUAAUCAAUGAAGUUCUACUGAGAUGCGAUUAUUGCUAGUUGAAAACUAUAACCACAAGUUCUUGUCUCUCAAGUUCCUCAAUUGGCCAUUUACGUACAGCUGGCAUAAUUUCUUUCAUACUAUCUCGACAG